rnacentral:rRNA from 1 species
ACGAGUGAGUAACGCGUGGGAACGUGCCUUUCGGUUCGGAAUAACUCAGGGAAACUUGAGCUAAUACCGGAUACGCCCUUCGGGGGAAAGAUUUAUUGCCGAAAGAUCGGCCCGCGUCCGAUUAGCUAGUUGGUGAGGUAACGGCUCACCAAGGCGACGAUCGGUAGCUGGUCUGAGAGGAUGAUCAGCCACACUGGGACUGAGACACGGCCCAGACUCCUACGGGAGGCAGCAGUGGGGAAUAUUGGACAAUGGGCGCAAGCCUGAUCCAGCCAUGCCGCGUGAGUGAUGAAGGCCCUAGGGUUGUAAAGCUCUUUCGCCAGGGACGAUAAUGACGGUACCUGGAUAAGAAGCCCCGGCUAACUUCGUGCCAGCAGCCGCGGUAAUACGAAGGGGGCUAGCGUUGUUCGGAAUCACUGGGCGUAAAGCGCACGUAGGCGGAUCUUUAAGUCAGGGGUGAAAUCCCGAGGCUCAACCUCGGAACUGCCUUUGAUACUGGAGGUCUAGAGUCCGGGAGAGGUGAGUGGAACUGCGAGU